GAUGUUCACUGAAGCUUUUACAACAAUUCUUUUUCUUUCUAUGAGGCGUCGUUGCAAGAAGGCAACUAUCGUGGACACAAACUACCACACUCUCCAACUUUCAUGCUCAUCAUUCGGAGCUAU